AGCGGCGAACGGGUGAGUAACACGUGGGUAUCUGCCCUGCACUCUGGGAUAAGCUUGGGAAACUGGGUCUAAUACCGGAUAUGGCCGCAUGGUGAAAGAUUUAUCGGUGCAGGAUGGGCCCGCGGCCUAUCAGCUUGUUGGUGGGGUAAUGGCCUACCAAGGCGACGACGGGUAGCCGACCUGAGAGGGUGACCGGCCACACUGGGACUGAGACACGGCCCAGACUCCUACGGGAGGCAGCAGUGGGGAAUAUUGCACAAUGGGCGGAAGCCUGAUGCAGCGACGCCGCGUGAGGGAUGAAGGCCUUCGGGUUGUAAACCUCUUUCAGCAGGGACGAAGCGUGAGUGACGGUACCUGCAGAAGAAGCACCGGCUAACUACGUGCCAGCAGCCGCGGUAAUACGUAGGGUGCGAGCGUUGUCCGGAAUUACUGGGCGUAAAGAGUUCGUAGGCGGUUUGUCGCGUCGUUUGUGAAAACCCGGGGCUCAACUUCGGGCUUGCAGGCGAUACGGGCAGACUUGAGUGUUUCAGGGAGACUGGAAUUCCUGGUGUAGCGGUGAAUGCGCAGAUAUCACGAGGAACACCGGUGGCGACGCGGGUCUCUGGGAAACAACUGACGCUGAGAACGGAAGCGUGGUUAGCCAACCAGAUUAGAUACCUGGGUAGUCCACGCCGU
rnacentral:rRNA from 1 species